rnacentral:lncRNA from 1 species
ACACGUUUGAGAGAUGGAGACUGCUGAAAAACUGCUGAAGAAUGACGUCUUCACUGCAUGGAGAAGUCCAGAGGUGCCUUGCACGGACAUCAUCUAUACAGAGAAUAAUUUUAAAAUGUUCUCAAUGUGAAGAUGCCGAGGAGGAAAAGCCUAGGAGCAGAGUGGAACCCAUUGUCUGGCAGAGGAAGAGGGAUUGUAUCCAGGUUGUUGUUCCAACAGGCUUUGAGAGGUGAGAGAUGUUCUUGUCUUCUGACGACCUCAGCAGUCUACUUCAGCAGCACACAGCAAGUCACAAAGCAGGUCCGCUUCAUGAGAAGGGAGAAAUGAAAGGAAGAAUAAACGUGGGGUAGGAGCAACAAAAUAAAAGAAUAUUUAAAUGAUUUCAAAUGGAUUGUAAAGUGUUGAAUCAUAAAGGAUUGGCAAAAAAGCCCUCUCCUCAUGAGGUCUAGCUAAUAUUAGGAAUUAUUGCCUCAAACGCUGCAGGUGUGGAUCCAUUUCUUUCACUGCUAGCAAAUGGGGUUGCAACUGCCUUUGACAAUGUAAAAGCUGCACAAUCCCUGUGCCCCAGGGCAGACAAUGAUGUUGGUGAGAUGCUGAUUUUAGGAUAGAAAAUUACAAUGGUUAUAUAGUAAACAGCACCUGGAAGUUUACUAAUGAUUUUUUCAAUUAACAGCAGCACUAUGGUCUGAUUAUUCAUGCAUGCUUUCUAUGAAAGGAAAGAAAAGAGGCAGAUGUUGAAAAGAAUUAGCGGUUGAGAGAUAUUUUUAAUUUUUUUUGUAACUGGAGGUAGAGCCUUCUUCCUGUUAUCACUACUUCUGAUAAUGAGAUGCCAAAACUAGUGAAUUAAAAGUUUUUACAAAAUUUAAAAUGUUUGGACUGUUCUACUCUCCCAUUAACUCCAAAUACUCACAUGAAAUGUGCAUGAAAAUGGAGAAGUAUAUAUGUAUAUAUAUAUAUGUGUGUACAAAUCUUUACACUCUCUGCCUGUAGCUUGAUAUGUAGUUUUGGCAUCCAAGCAAGAAAAAAUAAAAAAAUCCCACCAAGAACUGCAUGGCCAUGCAGAUCUUCAGCUACUGGAUCAUCUAUGAUAAUAAUGGCUGGAUCUCUUCCCUUAGAAGUCCACCAGGUGUGCACCUGCCAGAUUGUAGAAAUCUCUUUCCUGCAGCUGAGACAUGGGAAUUUCUUUGGACAUCAAAGCAAAGGUUUAUUGAAAUCUUACCCUUGCACAUCAUUUUAUCUUCUACUGAAAGAGGUGACAAACAACAGGGCCCACUGUGGAGGUCACUGAGGAAAUGAUGCUGAGAAUUCACUGGACAGACAAAGUCUUUGAUGCAGCUGAAGAAAGAUUGGAGCUAAUGAGAUUAAAGAUCAGAUGCACCAGGAUGAGUUUGGCUCAGUCAAGGAUUUCUCAUACCAAAGAUCUGACUACAAAGCAAAAUACUUUCUGGAGAAACAUCACACAGCCCGGAGUUGUCUGAAUCUGCUGUUCUCAUGUGUUUCUUUGCCAUUUCAGAGAAGCACAAAUACUGGAUCCAUGAAACUUCAGAUGUCUUUGUGAUGUCUUAUUCCUCUACCUUUCACUAACAGGUCAUCAACUUCCCUGGGCCUAUGAGCACUCAAACCUGUGUUUUACGUGACCAAAGGAAAAGUAUGUUCCUCUCUUCUCCACACAGGGACUGUUUUAAGGGAAGGCUCCACCCCCAAGAUGGUGCAGCCUAUUCACUACUGAUGUCCCAGCACUUGGAAAACCACCAAAGACAUCUGCGAGAGAAGGAGGAAAUUAUCCACUCAAAAAAUGCAGUUGCAUUAGUGAUAGGACAGGGCAUCAGACAAUGUCUUACCACAUUACACAGUAAUUCUAGAGAGAGUUGCACUGCACCCUGAGUUGAUGCUUUCCCUGGAUAGGCCCAAGUUUUCACUUAUGAAAUUUCCAAUGUCCAAAUGACACAAUGUAAUCUGUAAUAAGCAGGUAACUCUGAUUAAAACAAAGAGAAAUAAAACUUCAGUCGACUGGCAGGGCUAUGUAAUCUUGGUUUUUAAGUAGGGAUUGCACAUACACCCAGUGGUCUUUUUAAUGCUUUUCAGCUGCUGAAGAUUUCAACUGAAAUUUCUGUAAUAACUUGUGUGUUUGUAUGUGUUCAGUAUAUGUAUGCACAGGAUGGGGGUUUAAGAGAACAAAUUCUUAUAAAGCAAGA